rnacentral:rRNA from 1 species
UACGGAGGGGGCUAGCGUUGUUCGGAAUUACUGGGCGUAAGGCGCGCGUAGGCGGACCUGCAAGUCGGGGGUGAAAGCCCGAGGCUCAACCUCGGAACUGCCUUCGAUACUGCGGGUCUCGAGUCCGGGAGAGGUGAGUGGAAUUCCUAGUGUAGAGGUGAAAUUCGUAGAUAUUAGGAAGAACACCAGUGGCGAAGGCGGCUCACUGGCCCGGUACUGACGCUGAGGCGCGAAAGCGUGGGGAGCAAACAGGG